GAGACAGCAGCCGCCGCGGUAAUACGAAGGGGGCUAGCGUUGCUCGGAAUGACUGGGCGUAAAGGGCGCGUAGGCGGAUUGUUUAGUUAGGCGUGAAAUUCCUGGGCUUAACCUGGGGACUGCGCUUAAUACAGGCAGUCUAGAGUGAGGAAGAGGGUUGUGGAAUUCCCAGCGUAGAGGUGAAAUUCGUAGAUAUUGGGAAGAACACCGGUGGCGAAGGCGGCAACCUGGUCCUUGACUGACGCUGAGGUGCGAAAGCGUGGGGAGCAAACAGGAUUAGAUACCCCCGUAGUCCCUGUCUCUUAUAC
rnacentral:rRNA from 1 species